GACGAACGCUGGCGGCGUGCUUAACACAUGCAAGUCGAACGAUGAAGCCUAGCUUGCUAGGUGGAUUAGUGGCGAACGGGUGAGUAAUACGUGAGUAACCUACCUUUAACUCUGGGAUAAGCCUGGGAAACUGGGUCUAAUACCGGAUACGACCAAUCUCCGCAUGGGGUGUUGGUGGAAAGCGUUAUGUAGUGGUUAUAGAUGGGCUCACGGCCUAUCAGCUUGUUGGUGAGGUAAUGGCUCACCAAGGCGACGACGGGUAGCCGGCCUGAGAGGGUGACCGGCCACACUGGGACUGAGACACGGCCCAGACUCCUACGGGAGGCAGCAGUGGGGAAUAUUGCACAAUGGGCGCAAGCCUGAUGCAGCGACGCCGCGUGAGGGAUGACGGCCUUCGGGUUGUAAACCUCUGUUAGCAGGGGAAGAAGAGAGAUUGACGGUACCUGCAGAGAAAGCGCCGGCUAACUACGUGCCAGCAGCCGCGGUAAUACGUAGGGCGCGAGCGUUGUCCGGAAUUAUUGGGCGUAAAGAGCUUGUAGGCGGUUUGUCGCGUCUGCUGUGAAAGGCCGGGGCUUAACUCCGUGUAUUGCAGUGGGUACGGGCAGACUAGAGUGCAGUAGGGGAGACUGGAAUUCCUGGUGUAGCGGGUGGAAUGCGCAGAUAUCAGGAGGAACACCGAUGGGCGAAGGCUGGUUCUCUGGGCCGUUACUGGACGCUGAGGAGCGAAAGCAUGGGGAGCGAACAGG
rnacentral:rRNA from 1 species